UACGUAGGGGGCAAGCGUUACCCGGAUUUAUUGGGCGUAAAGAGCGUGUAGGCGGCCUGAAAGGUCAGCUGUGAAAACUCGAGGCUCAACCUCGAGACGUCGGUUGAAACCAUCUGGCUAGAGUCCGGAAGAGGAGUGUGGAAUUCCCGGUGUAGCGGUGAAAUGCGCAGAUAUCGGGAAGAACACCCGUGGCGAAGGCGGCACUCUGGGACGGUACUGACGCUGAGACGCGAAAGCGUGGGGAGCGAACAGG
rnacentral:rRNA from 1 species